rnacentral:rRNA from 1 species
GACGAACGCUGGCGGCGUGCUUAACACAUGCAAGUCGAACGAUGAAGUUCCUUCGGGAAUGGAUUAGUGGCGAACGGGUGAGGAACACGUGAGAAAUCUGCCCAUCAUUCUGGGAUAACACCGGGAAACCGGUGCUAAUACUGGAUACUCCAUCGCGGCGGCAUCGCUGCGCUGGGAAAGAAUUUCGAUGAUGGAUGAUCUCGCGGCCUAUCAGCUUGUUGGUGAGGUAAUGGCUCACCAAGGCGACGAC